UACGGGGGGAGCAAGCGUUGUUCGGAUUUACUGGGCGUAAAGGGCGCGUAGGCGGUCAGCACAAGUCAGUUGUGAAAUCUCCGGGCUUAACUCGGAAAGGUCAACUGAUACUGUGCGACUAGAGUGCAGAAGGGGCAACUGGAAUUCUCGGUGUAGUGGUGAAAUGCGUAGAUAUCGAGAGGAACACCAAUAGCGAAGGCAGCUUGCUGGGACGGUACUGACGCUAAGGCGCGAAAGCGUGGGGAGCGAACAGG
rnacentral:rRNA from 1 species